CAGCCGGGUCCGUAGGAUAACUAUUUUUCACGCCCGUUUACUGUUACCAGGUCGCCGUUGGGUGAUUGUGUCACUAGGCGCCCCAGCCCCCGGCCCCGGCCGCUUCCCGUCCAGUCCCCAUUCUUCUCUUCUCAUAUAUCCUCGCCAUUUCCCUUGAGCGAGAGAUUCCGGCGUGUUCCCCCGGCGGGCGAGCAAGAGCAAGGCCGCUCGGCGCACGGCUCCCCACCCAGUGAGCGUGGCUUCCGCGUCCUUCUGCUGUUGCCGCCCCGCCGCGCCGAUUUCCUCUGCUCCCGACCGUUCCUCCCUGCCUCUGUCCCCCAUCCAGGUGCUCGACAGCUCAGGCUCCUUCUUAUCCGCUCUCCUCUCCACCUCCCCUUGACGGUGGCUAUGGAUCUGCGCGAUCGCUUGGAGGCGACAAGCUCUUGUUGAACUCGUUCCCUUACAGGGAGAUCAAGAAUGACGUGCUCUGGGGGUUCGAGGGCAAAGGUGGUGCCUUACUGCACAGGCUGCAAGGCCGCACUUUCAAAAUUUAAGGCAGCAAUAGACUACAGGGUUGGUUAUUUGCUUCCUGGUUCAAAGGAACCGCACUUCUAGUUGCCCAACCAGCAUUCCUGCAACUGUUACAGACUACAAUAUGUCAAGUUUCUAAUAAUAGAUGACCCAUUAUUUUCACUUUCAUGAGGAUUCCACUCUGGAAUGAUAAACAACACUAACAUGAUAAAGGUAGACUUAUUACUAGCUUUUAUGUUGGUGUUUUUUUUCCAACUUGAUAUAUGUUAACGGGUUAAAAUAACAUCAUUUUCUUUGUUAUGUACCUUCUGUUUCGUGAUUAUAUUCUUUUUGUGGCUUCAAUUUUUGUUAACUUCUAAGAUUCUAUUUUUUUCGCAGACCAACAUGUUCUUAUUAGUUUCCUCUUAUUUCCUCUUAUGUUUUAAAUUACAUCCUAUUAGUUUCCAACGUGGAGUAACACGUGUCCCAUUUCCUCGAUUUGUCUGCAAAACAAUAUAUGAUAUGUACUGCUCUUUACAUGGUGUCUGGGGUCUUCACCUCCAGGCUGGAUAAAUUUUGAAUGUUGUAGUCUGCGAGGGUUGUGCCACCCUCCAGCUGCUUAAUGUGUUUCUUUUUUGUUUUUUGUCAAUAUGAGUACAAAAUGUUUUGUGUUGCAGUUGUAGUAUAUAUAUAAUGUGUAUGCGUGUGCGCAUGUGUGUGUAUGUGUGGAGGUAGCAGUGUAGAUAUUUGUUACAUCAUCAUAGUGUUUUUUUUAAUUUGUACACAACUUGACCAAACAUUUGUUUCUUGUUUUAGACUGAUAUCAUCGCUGUGAUUUUGUUGGUGCAUUCUCUGAUUCAUCCAUGAUAAAAAUCUGUGACCUUUAAGUAUGUGGGUUUCAAAUAUAAAAUCACAUAAUUGAUAUCCAACAUAAACUCUAUGACUUUUUUUAAUUUGGCUUAGCCUUUUAAUUUGGAUAAGUAUUUUGUAUAACUUUUUCUUAAUUAACAUGCAAACUUUUAAGCUUUGAUUCUGAUGGAAGUUAUACAUAAUUAUGGGAACUCUUUUCAAUGCUACAUCGUCAUAUAACUUUUUUUGGCCCCUUUUCUGUACUUCAUUAAUAGUUUAAAUUAAAAGUUUUCUUUUUUUGAUAAUUUGAUAUUUUGCCCCACGUUGUAUUUUUAAUUUUUUUGAGAUUAGAUCAUAUCGCCAUGUUUUUUAUUUUGGGAAAGGGUAAAUAUUAAUGUAGUAUGGGCAAUUACUGUGUAUUUUCUGAGAUGAGAUCAUCGAGCCAUAUUAUUUUAUUUAUAAAACAUUAACAUAGUAUGGAUGUGAAUCUUAUAUGGGCAAUAAGGCCAUUAGCUGGUUUGUAAAAUUUUGGCGCCGUCAAUCAGUGUACGUGCCAUUCUGGAUGUUUUAUGGCUUUUUUUUUUUGGAAUCUUUCUUCUUAUUAAUCACGUGGUGGGAAGUGCUGGUUCAGAAGGCUAAAGAUUGGUGGCUUAGAUGUGAUGCUGAAGAAUUGUGGCUUUGGACGCAAUUUAGAAUUUUGAUGUUUUUUGGAAUAGGCAUGAGCCCACCCCUGGAAAUUUAAGAAAAUCUUACAUGUAACUUUUUAUUUUCAGAUUGUAACUUUAGUUUUAGGGCAAAAUCUUGCUUAUGACUUUUUAUUUAGAAUUUUGAUGUGUGUUUUUUUUUGGAAUGGGCAUGAGCCCACUCCUGAAAACGUAAGAAAAUCUUACAUGUAACUUUUAAAUUGUUACAUGUAACUUUUUGUUUCGGAUUGUAACUUUAGUUUCAGGGUGAAAUCUUGCAAUAACUUUCUUUCUGGAA